GAUGAACGCUAGCGAUAGGCUUAACACAUGCAAGUCGAGGGGCAGCACAAGGUAGCUUGCUCUCUGGGUGGCGACCGGCGCACGGGUGCGUAACGCGUAUGCAACUUGCCCUAUACAGGAGGAUAACCCGUCGAAAGACGGACUAAUACUGCGUAUGCUCACAACUUGGCAUCAAGUGGUGAGGAAAGAAAUUCGGUAUAGGAUAGGCAUGCGUCCCAUUAGCUUGUUGGUGAGGUAACGGCUCACCAAGGCAACGAUGGGUAGGGGAACUGAGAGGUUUAUCCCCCACACUGGUACUGAGACACGGACCAGACUCCUACGGGAGGCAGCAGUGAGGAAUAUUGGUCAAUGGGCGCGAGCCUGAACCAGCCAAGUCGCGUGAAGGAUGACUGUCUUAUGGAUUGUAAACUUCUUUUAUACGGGAAUAACAAGAGUCACGGGUGACUCCCUGCAUGUACCGUAUGAAUAAGCAUCGGCUAACUCCGUG
rnacentral:rRNA from 1 species